GCCUCGGUGGUGUAGUGAUAGUAGCACGCGUCCCCGGUAUGGAUGAAACGCGGAUUCAAUUCCCGACUGGGGCA